AAGAAAGGCGUAAACUAUCGCAUUUCGACAGCAAAAAAAUCCCCGUAAUCUAAAACCAAAAUCACGCGCAAAAUAUUUUUCUUCCCCGUCUCCUUCCUCCUCGGGCACCUCUUCUCCUCGCUUACUCCUCAGUCCCCCACCCACCACCCCAGUUGCUCCCCCCGCUGGCGAGAUGCGGGGCGGAGCGGGAGCCCUUCCGGUGCCAGGCGGCCUCGCGCUCGGGGUGGUGCUGCUUCUAGUUCUCGCCGUGCUGCCGUCCCGGGCGGCCGGGGUGAACGUGACGGCCGCGCUCGCGGCUUUCCCCAGCUUCGCCGACUUCGCGCGGCUUCUGGAGUCGAGCCCGGUGGCCGGGGAGCUGGCGGCGCGGUCGUCGCUGACGCUGCUGGCCGUGCCGAACAACAACCUGCCGCGCUCGCCCUCGGCGUUCGCGGCGGCCUCCGGCGCCGACAUCGCCGAUGUGCUGCGGUACCACGUCCUGCUUGAGUACCUCUCCCCUUCUGACCUCGCGCGCCUCCCCGCCUCCGGGAAGCUCGUGACGACGCUGUUCCAGACCACCGGGCGCGCGCCCUCCGAUCUCGGCGCCGUCAACCUCACCGUCGGGGGAAACUCCACCGUCGUGGUCCGGUCGCCGGCGCCUUUCCCGGGGUCGAGCGCCACUGUCCUCGGCGCCGUCACCGCUGUGCCUUACAACCUCAGCGUGCUCGCGGUGGGUGGCCUCAUCGUCCCCUCCGGGCUCGACGUCGCGGCCUCCGACAGCCGCCCGGCCGGUGGCGUCAACAUCACCCACGUCCUCGCGGACGCGCGGGGGUUCAACGUUGCUGCCUCCAUGCUGGAGGCAUCGGGCGUCGCGGACGAGUUCACGGCAGACGAGCGCGGCGCCGGCAUCACCGUCUUCGUGCCCACCGACGACGCCUUCGCCGACCUCCCCGCCACCGACCGCCUCCAGUCCCUCCCCGCAGAUCGCAAGGCCACCGUGCUUCGCUUCCACGUGCUGCACUCGUACUAUCCGCUCGGCUCCCUCGAGUCCAUCGUGAACCCCGUGCAGCCCACGCUCGCCACCGAGCGCUUCGAGGCCGGCCAGUUCACGCUAAACAUCACACGCGUCAAUGGCUCCGUCGCCAUCGACACCGGCAUCGUGCAGGCUUCGAUCACCCGCACGGUGUUCGACCAAAAUCCCGUUGCGGUGUUUGCCGUCUCGAAGGUUCUACUGCCCAAGGAAAUGUUCGGUCGGGGCGGUGCUGAUAGCGACGUCAUGGCGCCGCCGCCGGACGCGAUGGCGCCAGAUGCUGCCGAGAACGUGCGGACGCCGCCGACGAGACUGUCGUCACCUCCAGCACUGCGGGGUGGCGCUGAUAGUGAGUCGUCAUCAGCAUUGUCAACGGCAAGGGCUGUCAAUUGGUGGUGUAUACGGUAAAGCAAAAGCAUGGAGCAACUUCAGAUGAUCCAAAUUGGUAGGACAUGUUUGAUGUCAGAGGCUCUUCAUUGAUACAACAGUGGAAUUUAGUUCGUGGUCACAUGGUUGCAGGCAUAUUAUUGUACUGUCUAUUUUUGUAUGAUGGUUACAAAGUGAAAAUGUACAAGUAGAAUGGCCUUGCCAUGCUGCAGCAAGAUCUGUACAUGAGCCCUUGUUAAUGAUAUAAAUGGGACCAGCCGAGGAAAAUCCAUUUACUGGAGUAGCUGUUUCGGAAGGAAGUAGAAGUUUGCCUGGUUCCUUCAAUAGGUGAGUUACCAAUGAAUCCUUGUGGCACGUUCAUUUCAUUUCUUUUAAACAAUUGUGUGGAUAUUGAACACUUGUGAGGAUUGACGAUAUUAACCAAUAGGGUCGGUGUUUUACAUAGCCGGUUUUCACAGCACUAUUGUGAUGUCGGAGGUAAAAUGCUAAGCUCCAGUACGUUCCAUCGCGUGCUAUUGUGGCGCUGUAGAGUUUUGGUGACCAUGACAUGAAAAGUCUGUUAUUGAACCUUAGGUUUGAAUUCUGUACUUGUGAGGGAAAUCUAGUACUCCCAUGGUAGGAUCUUGUACAGAACAUCGCAUAAUUCAGGCAUACACUCUCUACGCCAUUUUCCAGUAA